GCACAAGCGGUGGAUGAUGUAGGAUUAAUUCGAUGCAACGCGAAAACCUUACCUACCCUUGACAUGUCCGGAAUCCCGAAGAGAUUUGGGAGUGCUCGCAAGAGAACCGGAACACAGGUGCUGCAUGGCUGUCGUCAGCUCGUGUCGUGAGAUGUUGGGUUAAGUCCCGCAACGAGCGCAACCCUUGUCAUUAGUUGCCAUCAUUUGGUUGGGCACUCUAAUGAGACUGCCGGUGACAAACCGGAGGAAGGUGGGGAUGACGUCAAGUCCUCAUGGCCCUUAUGGGUAGGGCUUCACACGUCAUACAAUGGUCGGUACAGAGGGUUGCCAACCCGCGAGGGGGAGCUAAUCCCACAAAGCCGAUCGUAGUCCGGAUCGCAGUCUGCAACUCGACUGCGUGAAGUCGGAAUCGCUAGUAAUCGUGGAUCAGCAUGUCACGGUGAAUACGUUCCCGGGUCUU
rnacentral:rRNA from 1 species